AUACGGAGGGUGCAAGCGUUAAUCGGAAUUACUGGGCGUAAAGCGCGCGUAGGCGGUUUAGUAAGUCGGAUGUGAAAGCCCUGGGCUCAACCUGGGAAUUGCAUUCGAUACUGCUUGACUAGAGUAUGGUAGAGGGAAGUGGAAUUUCCGGUGUAGCGGUGAAAUGCGUAGAUAUCGGAAGGAACACCAGUGGCGAAGGCGACUUCCUGGGCCAAUACUGACGCUCAGGCACGAAAGCAUGGGGAGCAAACAGGAUUAGAUACCCCAGUAGUCC
rnacentral:rRNA from 1 species